CGCUUAUGCGUUGUUGGGUAGGGGAGCGUUCUGUAAGCCUGUGAAGGUGGCCUGUGAGGGUUGCUGGAGGUAUCAGAAGUGCGAAUGCUGACAUAAGUAACGAUAAAGCGGGUGAAAAGCCCGCUCGCCGGAAGACCAAGGGUUCCUGUCCAACGUUAAUCGGGGCAGGGUGAGUCGACCCCUAAGGCGAGGCCGAAAGGCGUAGUCGAUGGGAAACGGGUUAAUAUUCCCGUACUUGGUGUUACUGCGAAGGGGGGACGGAGAAGGCUAUGUUGGCCGGGCGACGGUUGUCCCGGUUUAAGCGUGUAGGUGUGUGUUCCAGGUAAAUCCGGUUCACUUUAACACUGAGGCGUGAUGACGAGGCACUACGGUGCUGAAGCAACAAAUGCCCUGCUUCCAGGAAAAGCCUCUAAGCAUCAGGUAACAUCAAAUCGUACCCCAAACCGACACAGGUGGUCAGGUAGAGAAUACCAAGGCGCUUGAGAGAACUCGGGUGAAGGAACUAGGCAAAAUGGUGCCGUAACUUCGGGAGAAGGCACGCUGACAUGUAGGUGAAGCGGUUUACCCGUGGAGCUGAAAUCAGUCGAAGAUACCAGCUGGCUGCAACUGUUUAUUAAAAACACAGCACUGUGCAAACACGAAAGUGGACGUAUACGGUGUGACGCCUGCCCGGUGCCGGAAGGUUAAUUGAUGGGGUCAGCGCAAGCGAAGCUCCUGAUCGAAGCCCCGGUAAACGGCGGCCGUAACUAUAACGGUNGACGCCUGCCCGGUGCCGGAAGGUUAAUUGAUGGGGUCAGCGCAAGCGAAGCUCCUGAUCGAAGCCCCGGUAAACGGCGGCCGUAACUAUAACGGUCCUAAGGUAGCGAAAUUCCUUGUCGGGUAAGUUCCGACCUGCACGAAUGGCGUAAUGAUGGCCAGGCUGUCUCCACCCGAGACUCAGUGAAAUUGAACUCGCUGUGAAGAUGCAGUGUACCCGCGGCAAGACGGAAAGACCCCGUGAACCUUUACUAUAGCUUGACACUGAACAUUGAGCCUUGAUGUGUAGGAUAGGUGGGAGGCUUUGAAGUGUGGACGCCAGUCUGCAUGGAGCCGACCUUGAAAUACCACCCUUUAAUGUUUGAUGUUCUAACGUGGACCCGU
rnacentral:rRNA from 1 species